UGAGAGAUGGCCAUGUGUAUUCAGCAAGGCUACUGGGAGAUUCUCCCUGGGAUUUUCAGGAGAAGGGCUGUCAUCUCAGAUGCCACAGUAAAAGGGGACCCAGAACUUCCACACUUCUGUCUGAUCAGCUCAUUUCUGAAGUCAGGAGCUAAAUUCACUUCAGGGACCUCCAGAAGUGAAAUACACACUCUUUGGAGUCAAACUGGGCUGAACACAACCGAUGACCUACAAUGUCCCCAGUUGAACCCGAAGGAAAUGUGCCAAUGA
rnacentral:lncRNA from 1 species